rnacentral:rRNA from 1 species
CAGCCGCCGCGGUAAUACGUAGGUGGUAAGCGUUGUCCGGAAUUAUUGGGCGUAAAGGGCUCGCAGGCGGUUUCUUAAGUCUGAUGUGAAAGCCCCCGGCUCAACCGGGGAGGGUCAUUGGAAACUGGGAAACUUGAGUGCAGAAGAGGAGAGUGGAAUUCCACGUGUAGCGGUGAAAUGCGUAGAGAUGUGGAGGAACACCAGUGGCGAAGGCGACUCUCUGGUCUGUAACUGACGCUGAGGAGCGAAAGCGUGGGGAGCGAACAGGAUUAGAUACCCCAGUAGUCCCUGUCUCUUAUAU